UACGGAGGAUCCGAGCGUUAUCCGGAUUUAUUGGGUUUAAAGGGUGCGCAGGCGUGAGAUUAAGUCGGCGGUGAAAUUUUGCAGCUCAACUGUAAAAGUGCCUUCGAAACUGGUUUCCUUGAGUGUAGAUGAAGUAGGCGGAAUUUGUGGUGUAGCGGUGAAAUGCAUAGAUAUCACGAGGAACUCCGAUUGCGCAGGCAGCUUACUAAACCAUAACUGACGCUCAGGCACGAAGGCGUGGGGAUCAAACAGGAUUAGAUACCCU
rnacentral:rRNA from 1 species